GUAACACUUGCCGGAGGACCGAACCAGUUGACGUUGAAAAGUCUUUGGAUGACUUGUGGUAAGGGGUGAAAGGCCAACCAAAUUCGUAGAUAGCUGGUUUUCCGCGAAAACUAUUUAGGUAGUGCGUUGAAUAAAUAUGCGUUUAGAGGUAGAGCACUAAAUGGGCUAGGGGGAAGAGAUUCUUACCAAACCUAAUAAAACUCCGAAUGCUAAACGUAGUUCUUCAACAGACAGACUGUGGGUGCUAAGGUCCAUGGUCGAGAGGGAAAGAGCCCAGACCACCAGAUAAGGUCCCAAAAUUAUGAUUAAGUGUGAAAGGAUGUGGAAAUUCCUUAACAGCCGGGAGGUUGGCUUAGAAGCAGCCAUCCUUUAAAGAUAGCGUAACAGCUCACCGGUCUAAUAGAGUUUCUGCGCCGAAGAUGUAACGGGGCUAAAAUCAUAUACCGAAUCUGUGGGUUUAUAAAAUUUUCGAAUUUUAUAAGCGGUAGCGGAACGUUCUGUAAGCCUGCGAAGGAAUACCCGUGAGGGAUUCUGGAGGUAUCAGAAGUGCGAAUGCUGACAUAAGUAACGAUAAAUGAAGUGAAAAACUUCAUCGCCGAAAAUCCAAGGGUUUCUGCGCAAGGUUAAUCCGCGCAGAGUUAGUCGGCACCUAAGGCGAGGGCGAAAGCCGUAGUCGAUGGAAAUAAGGUUAAUAUUCCUUAACCAGAUGGUAGUGACGGAUCUUGUAAGUUGUAAGUUCUUAAUGGAUUGAACUUGCCGUGAAAAAGUUCCAGGAAAUAGCUCCAUCAUUAGACCGUACCCUAAACCGACACAGGUGGAUUAAUAGAGUAUAUUUAGGCGCUUGAGAGAAUGAUGUUGAAGGAACUCGGCAAAAUGCUUCUGUAACUUCGGGAUAAAGAAGACCUUUUUGUAGGCAACUAUAAAAAGGUGGCACAAGCCAGGGAGAAGCGACUGUUUAUCAAAAACACAGGGCUCUGCUAACACGUAAGUGGAUGUAUAGGGUCUGACGCCUGCCCGGUGCUGGAAGGUUAAUGCGAUGGGUGCAAGCCCAUUUCUGAAGCCCCAGUAAACGGCGGCCGUAACUAUAACGGUCCUAAGGUAGCGAAAUUCCUUGUCGGGUAAGUUCCGACCUGCAUGAAUGGCGUAACGAUUUCUCCGCUGUCUCCAACAUCAACUCAGUGAAAUUGAAUUCUCCGUGAAGAUGCGGAGUUCGCGUAGUUAGACGGAAAGACCCCGUGCACCUUUACUGCAACUUUACAUUGGUGUUAGGAGAAACAUAUUUAGCAUAGGAGGGAGACUUUGAAGCAGAGGCGUCAGCUUUUGUGGAGUCGCCAGUGAAAUACCUCUUUUGUUUUUCUUGGCAUCUAACUGAUUGCCGUCAUCCGGCAUCAAGACAUUGUAUGGUGGGUAGUUUGACUGGGGCGGUCGCCUCCCAAAUAGUAACGGAGGCGUGCGAAGGUAGGCUCAGAACGGUCAGAAAUCGUUCGUGGAGUGCAAUGGCAUAAGCCUGCCUGACUGUGAGACUGACAAGUCGAGCAGAGUCGAAAGACGGUCAUAGUGAUCCGGUGGUUC
rnacentral:rRNA from 1 species